rnacentral:lncRNA from 1 species
GCAUCACCCCCGCCAGCAGGUGAAGAGGUGCCCUUGCAGCAGUUGGAUGUGAGGCCAAGAAGCAGAAGCUAAGGGAGGGGGGCUGGGGCAUCCCUGGAGCUCAGAAGCCAAGGCCCGUGCCUGCCCCAGGGCUGGUGCUGCACAGGCACUGGGGACCGAGGGCAGCUGAUGGGGCCCUGAGCAGGACGUGCCUCUUCCGGACUUGACCACAGAACCCAAGCAUGGUUCAAGCGAUUCUCCUGCCUCAGCCUCCUGUGUAGUUGGGAUUACAGACGCCCACCACGGCACCCAGUCACAGAUGGACUCUGAGAGAGAAAAUAGCACUCCUGUCCAAAUGUCACAUGCCUGGCGGUGGAAUGCAGCCUGGCCUGUGCAUCUGAAUGUCAGAGAGUGCACCUUCCUCUCUUCUUUUGCUUUAUUUCCAGGGAAAGGGAAAGGAAGACAUGCAGUCUCAUUGAAGUCCUUGGGUCACUUUACCCCCACCCUUGGGUAGAUGGACGAUCAGAUGUCUUCCUUCUCAUGCUGGCUGAGACAUCAAACACCAGAGUGGACUUACUUGGCUCCAGUGCUGGUGAUGGGCACUUCUGAGUGAGUGGAAUCUGGGGUGUAUGUAUACUAGUGAAUUUGCUGGUUCUUAGUGCAGGAUCAUUUGAAAAUUUAUUAUUCUGCCAAAUUGAUCAAAUCACUUUGAA